rnacentral:rRNA from 1 species
AACGAACGCUGGCGGCAUGCCUAACACAUGCAAGUCGAACGAGACCUUCGGGUCUAGUGGCGCACGGGUGCGUAACGCGUGGGAACCUGCCCUUAGGUUCGGAAUAACUCCCCGAAAGGGGUGCUAAUACCGGAUAAUGUCUUCGGACCAAAGAUUUAUCGCCUUUGGAUGGGCCCGCGUUGGAUUAGCUAGUUGGUAGGGUAAAAGCCUACCAAGGCGACGAUACAUAGCUGGUCUGAGAGGAUGAUCAGCGACACUGGGACUGAGACGCGGCCCAGACUCCUACGGGAGGCAGGAGUGGGUAAUAUUGGACAAUGGGCGAAAGCCUGAUCCAGCAAUGCCGCGUGAGUGAUGAAGGCCUUAGAGUAGUAAAGCUCUUUUACCCGGGAUGAUAAUGACGGUACCGGGAGAAUAAGCUCCGGCUAACUCCGUG